UACGUAGGGUGCGAGCGUUGUCCGGAAUUAUUGGGCGUAAAAGAGCGUGUAGGCGGCCUGGCAAGUCCGCUGUGAAAACUCGAGGCUUAACCUCGAGACGUCGGUGGAAACUGCCUGGCUAGAGUCCGGAAAGAGGAGAGUGGAAUUCCGUGGUGUAGCGGUGAAAUGCGCAGAUAUCAGGAAGAACACCCGUGGCUAAGGCGGCUCUCUAGUACGGUACUGACGCUGAGACGCGAAAGCGUGGGGAGCGAACAGG
rnacentral:rRNA from 1 species